rnacentral:rRNA from 1 species
UACGGAAGGCAGCAGUGGGGAAUAUUGCACAAUGGGCGAAAGCCUGAUGCAGCUAUGCCGCGUGUAUGAAGAAGGCCUUAGGGUUGUAAAGUACUUUCAUCGGGGAGGAAAAACAAAACUAAUAAUUUUAUUUCUUGACGUUACCCGAAAAAGAAGCACCGGCUAACUCCGUGCCAGCAGCCGCGGUAAUACGGAGGGUGCUAGCGUUAAUCAGAAUUACUGGGCGUAAAGAGCACGUAGGUGGUUUUUUUAAGUCAGAUGUGGAAUCCCUGGGCUUAACCUAGGAACUGCAUUUUGAAACUGAAAUACUAGAGUAUCGUAGAGGGAGGUAGAAUUCUAGGUGUAGCGGUGAAAUGCGUAGAUAUCUGGAGGAAUACCUGUGGCGAAAGCGGCCUCCUAAACGAAUACUGACACUGAGGUGCGAAAGCGUGGGGAGCAAACAGGGAUUAGAUACC